AUUCCAGCUCCAAUAGCGUAUAUUUAAGUUGUUGCAGUUAAAAAGCUCGUAGUUGGAUCUUGGGUCGUAAGGGUCGGUCCGCCUACUCGGUGUGCACCUGCCCUUCCGUCCCUUUUGUCGGCGGCGUGCUCCUGGCCUUAAUUGGCUGGGUCGCGGUUCCGGCGCUGUUACUUUGAAAAAAUUAGAGUGCUCAAAGCAAGCUUAUGCUCUGAAUACAUUAGCAUGGAAUAACGUGAUAGGAGUCUGGUCCUAUUGUGUUGGCCUUCGGGACCGGAGUAAUGAUUAAUAGGGACAGUUGGGGACAUUUAUAUUCCAUGGCUAGAGGUGAAAUUCUUGGAUUCAUGGAAGAUAAACUACUGCGAAAGCAUUUGUCAAAGAUGUUUUCAUCG
rnacentral:rRNA from 1 species